rnacentral:lncRNA from 1 species
GACCUAAUGAGUUAAAUGCUUGCGGGGGCAAGUGUGAAGACCUGAGCGUGGAUCGCCAGCCAGCACCCACUCAGAGCUGAGCCAGAGAACAUGUCUACAGUCCCCAAGGCAAGUUGUGAGGUAAAGACGGGAGAGUCCAUGGAGACUGAGAGGCCAGCUAGCCUGUGCGCACUGCAGUGGACAGGAGACCCUGUCUCAGACAAGGUACAAGGGCAUAGAGAAACAAAUCUUUCUGGAAACAAGUUGAAGGUGCUUGGUUUUAGCCUUCCCUUGGGAACUUGCUGUGUUUCCCCUGGCAAAUUAACCCUGAUAUCUGUCUGUCCCGGGAGGGGCUGAAAGCCUUCCCCAACCCCAGCUCCUCGACUGUUUAAAACAAAUGAGUUGGGAGUCCCGUGAUCCACUCACUUCUUAGAAAGCCAGGACAGUAUUUGUUAUUCUUUCUAAAUUCUUAAGUACUUUGCUCUU